UGAACGCUGGCGGAAUGCUUUACACAUGCAAGUCGAACGGCAGCACGGACUUCGGUCUGGUGGCGAGUGGCGAACGGGUGAGUAACAUAUCGGAACGUAUCCAAUAAUGGGGGAUAACUAAUCGAAAGGUUGGCUAAUACCGCAUACGCCCUACGGGGGAAAGCAGGGGAUCUUCGGACCUUGCGUUAAUGGAGCGGCUGAUAUCUGAUUAGCUAGUUGGUGAGGUAAAGGCUCACCAAGGCGACGAUCAGUAGCUGGUCUGAGAGGACGACCAGCCACACUGGAACUGAGACACGGUCCAGACUCCUACGGGAGGCAGCAGUGGGGAAUUUUGGACAAUGGGCGCAAGCCUGAUCCAGCCAUUCCGCGUGAGUGAAGAAGGCCUUCGGGUUGUGAAGCUCUUUCGCAAGGGAAGAAAACUUACUUUCUAAUAAAGAGUGAGGUUGACGGUACCUUGAUAAGAAGCACCGGCUAACUACGUGCCAGCAGCCGCGGUAAUACGUAGGGUGCGAGCGUUAAUCGGAAUUACUGGGCGUAAAGCGUGCGCAGGCGGUUUUGUAAGUCAGAUGUGAAAUCCCCGAGCUCAACUUGGGAACUGCGUUUGAAACUACAAGACUAGAAUAUGUCAGAGGGGGGUAGAAUUCCACGUGUAGCAGUGAAAUGCGUAGAGAUGUGGAGGAAUACCAAUGGCGAAGGCAGCCCCCUGGGAUAAUAUUGACGCUCAUGCACGAAAGCGUGGGGAGCAAACAGGAUUAGAUACCCUGGUAGUCCACGCCCUAAACGAUGUCUACUAGUUGUUGGUGGAGUAAAAUCCAUGAGUAACGCAGCUAACGCGUGAAGUAGACCGCCUGGGGAGUACGGUCGCAAGAUUA
rnacentral:rRNA from 1 species